rnacentral:rRNA from 1 species
GCUAUACAUGCAGUCGAACGCACAGCGAAAGGUGCUUGCACCUUUCAAGUGAGUGGCGAACGGGUGAGUAACACGUGGACAACCUGCCUCAAGGCUGGGGAUAACAUUUGGAAACAGAUGCUAAUACCGAAUAAAACUUAGUGUCGCAUGACACAAAGUUAAAAGGCGCUUCGGCGUCACCUAGAGAUGGAUCCGCGGUGCAUUAGUUAGUUGGUGGGGUAAAGGCCUACCAAGACAAUGAUGCAUAGCCGAGUUGAGAGACUGAUCGGCCACAUUGGGACUGAGACACGGCCCAAACUCCUACGGGAGGCUGCAGUAGGGAAUCUUCCACAAUGGGCGAAAGCCUGAUGGAGCAACGCCGCGUGUGUGAUGAAGGCUUUCGGGUCGUAAAGCACUGUUGUAUGGGAAGAACAGCUAGAAUAGGAAAUGAUUUUAGUUUGACGGUACCAUACCAGAAAGGGACGGCUAAAUACGUGCCAGCAGCCGCGGUAAUACGUAUGUCCCGAGCGUUAUCCGGAUUUAUUGGGCGUAAAGCGAGCGCAGACGGUUUAUUAAGUCUGAUGUGAAAGCCCGGAGCUCAACUCCGGAAUGGCAUUGGAAACUGGUUAACUUGAGUGCAGUAGAGGUAAGUGGAACUCCAUGUGUAGCGGUGGAAUGCGUAGAUAUAUGGAAGAACACCAGUGGCGAAGGCGGCUUACUGGACUGCAACUGACGUUGAGGCUCGAAAGUGUGGGUAGCAAACAGGAUUAGAUACCCUGGUAGUCCACACCGUAAACGAUGAACACUAGGUGUUAGGAGGUUUCCGCCUCUUAGUGCCGAAGCUAACGCAUUAAGUGUUCCGCCUGGGGAGUACGACCGCAAGGUUGAAACUCAAAGGAAUUGACGGGACCCGCACAAGCGGUGGAGCAUGUGGUUU